rnacentral:rRNA from 1 species
CGAGUGGGGCUGCUAUGGAAGGGGAGGGGAAGGAGGGAAGGAAGGGGGGGCGUGGUGGCGGCGCUGCCGCUGGGGGGUCGGCGUGCGGCUUCGCUGGGGGAGGCGGGGCUGGCGCAGGCAGAUCCCGAUCCCAAAGGCGGAGGAGAGGCGUGGGGAUCGGACGAGGUGCGCCGCGCGGGCAGGUGCGGCGUCGGGGCGCCUAAGGAGGGGGGGAAAAGUCGAGUUUUAGCGGCGAAAAGGCGAGCCAAGAACCCGUGCUUAGCCGGUAACUAAAGGGGACCAAUAGGCUCCAAAGGGGGACUAAAGAGCCCCGCGCUCGCCCCCGGAAGGCUCCGCUAACCACGAGACCUCGUCAGAGAACGGGCGGCGCCCAAGCCCGCAACGCCGACGACUUCCGGAGCGGCCAAAAAGGUACUCGCGCGCGGCCCCAGGGCCAGCAGACCCGCGCGCGCGCCCCACGAGCACAAUUACGUAGCCGACUGGACGCCGACGUUCAAGCGGCUGGGGCUGUGCCAGCAGGGGAGGCGCCGCCGCCGCAGCGUAGCGCACGCCGGCCUGUGGUACUCGACGCCGUCGCUGCCCACGUCCCUGCCGCCGCCGCCGCUCCCCAAGCCCGCCAGCGCCGGCUCGUUCCAGCGCCGGCUGCUGAGCCACCUCGGGCGCGCCACGAGCCUGCGGUGGAGCGGCGGCCCCAGGACCUAACUGUCCUUCGACGACCAGCUAGGGUUCUACGACAAGCAGCCUAGGUUCUAACCCCUCCCGCGGGUGCCGUUCCAGAUGUGCCCGUUCAUACCACUAGUCUAACAUCGGUAUUUUCAAGAGUUGUCACCGUCAUGGGGGCUUCUUUUUCAUUGUGAACUUCUAGCAAAGUAGGCUCUUCAGUUAUACUACACAUUUCACUUUGUACUAUUAGAACACUUCAAGUAACCUCGGACGUUCCUUGGUAACUACCACUAACAUUCACUCGACGAUGGUCCCUACAGCGACUUUUUAAUGAACUUGUCGUAGGCCGGGUCGGUUGAUCUAUAGGUAUGACGUAAUCCGAUACGUGAGUUGUAUCGAGCACGUUACCUUACAAAUGUACGGUUACCUUAUUAUGUGUCUCUGGACUUUGGACUAUUAAACAACGAAUGACGUUUGGCAUUCUUCGACUUCGAAUGACUAAAACCUGAGCGUGCUCUCCUUUGACACUGACUUUACUACUGCCGACUUUGACCCUGUAUGGCUACCUACCGGGGUCUCAAUAUGUCGUGACAGUGUGAAGUUGCACCACUUUUUUUCGUGAUGUGUUUAUUUCACCUACACAUGUCGAAACCGUAGCAGGACACCCUCAACGACUGGUUAUUUUACGGUAAGCUUCCGUACAGCUUAGAUGUUCGACGUAUACGACGACGAAAAUUUGUUCAUGCGGGUCGAAAAGGACUCCUGUGGGGGGUCCUCGAGCGCAGGUAGCACGUCAGUACGACCCAGCUCCUGGGACGAUACGCCGGGUCGAAGUCGGUCUAGUAGGCGUACGACCUACGGAAGGAGUGCUGCUAGGGAGGCGGCGGGGGAAGCCUCCGUCUGCUCCUGCGCUGCCUCAGCCUUCUGUGUUGCAGCAGCGACUCGUCGUUCUCGAGGAGCCAGAGGAGGUAGCAAAGGGCACGCUGUUCGUUCGAGAGCCAGCAGGCGGUAGACAAGCGGAGCUUCUUCCCCCCGUCGUUACCCUUCCGUACUAGGCGCAGGCGCCCGGUACGGGGACUCUGCAAAAAGGAACCACGACAUUUCCACAAUCGGAUCCCAAUCGAAAACGAACAAAACACAAAACUACUAUGCCUUCUUUUUUCCCACGUUACGUAUGAACACGUUCGAUACACUACAUAUCGACCGCCGACGAGACGGUAUUUGAAAACAUACGACGGUAACUCGAGUUAGGUUAGGGGAGAACAAAAGUGACGUUAAAAAUCGGGAAACGGUUAGGACACUAGGACUGUCUGAACUAC